GUCUGGGUUAUACCAGAGAUCAAUAAUUGACCAAUCAAAAUAGAAGGAGGUUUGGCAGGAAGUCAGUAAAAUUAGAGAGUAUGACAAAGAAUUAAGGUCAAAGGUCACCAAACUCAGGAGACAACUUGCCUCAUUAGAAAGAGAAGCACUAGGAGUUGGACUGAUUCUUCCCUCAGAACUUGGUGUUGAUUGUAUACCAGAAUGAGGUCAAUAUUCAGGACAAACUUUGCUGGACUAAUUUAUGACUAUUGUAUAGUUUGUAACUUACUGAUAUAUCUUCAGAUUUUAAAUACCAGGAUAGAGACUUUCAUGUUCCAUUUUGUCUUAAGGAUGUACUUAAGUGAAAUUAAAAUAAUGUAGACUUUCAAAUUGAUACUAUAAGUUGGAAGUUAAAAAAAAACAAAAUAAGCUAAAAAUAUUGAUAGGUUAUGGAGCUCCUGAUCAAGAAAUUGAUUUUUUUUUUAAAUUGCAAGAAAACUUUUUAAGGCUGACUAAGACUUUGAUAUUUUUGCAUUGGUAUUAUUUGGUGGGUCUCGAAAGAACAUAAUUCUAAAAUCUCCUUAAAUAUUGGUGAAUGACUAUUAAAGUCUUAUAUAAACAUUAAAAUUGGUGUUAUGGAACAAAAUAUUUUAUCCUGUGUUGAAGGACAAAAAUAUCAAAUUAUCUUUUUACAUGGUAGAUUAAAAGUAAUUAUUAUUAUAAUAAUGCAUUAUACUGCAAUUUAAAGUCAUAUAAUUAGUUUACAGUUCAGCACUGUGAAUUUAUAUAAUUUGAACUCUAAUAGAGGAAUAUAAAUAUUUUCAAGUGACGAAAUAUUUUUGACAAUAUGUGCAAUAUUUAAUUGUUGAUGUAAUCAUGUGUAUGUAUGUACUUCUGUGAUAAAUAAUAAAGUUUAUUAUGUCUGCUAUGUUAAAGUGUCAAUCAGUGACACUUAAAUGCUGGCCUGUGAA